rnacentral:rRNA from 1 species
AUUAACGCUAGCGGCAGGCAUAAUACAUGCAAGUUGAACGGCAGCACAGGUAGCAAUACUGGGUGGCGAGUGGCGCACGGGUGCGUAACACGUAUGCAACCUACCCUAUACAGGCGAAUAACCUUUAGAAAUGAGGGCUAAUACGCCGUGGUAUUAUCUUGGGGCAUCUUGAGAUAAUUAAAGAUUUAUCGGUAUAGGAUGGGCAUGCGUCCCAUUAGUUAGUUGGUAGGGUAACGGCCUACCAAGGCUAUGAUGGGUAGGGG